GUGUCAGCAGCCGCGGUAAUACUGAAGGUCCAAGCGUUAAUCGGAAUCACUGGGCUUAAAGCGUACGCAGGCGGAUUUGUAGGUAUUUUGUGAAAUCCCACGGCUCAACCGUGGAACUGCAGAGUAAACCACAAAUCUUGAGACAAGUAGGGGUCAGUGGAACUAUGAGUGGAGCGGUGAAAUGCGUAGAUAUUCAUGGGAACGCCAAUGGCGAAGGCAACUGACUGGGCUUGUUCUGACGCUCAGGUACGAAAGCGUGGGUAGCGAACGGGAUUAGAUACCCCGGUAGUCCACGCCGUAAACGAUGCACACUAGGUCGCGGAGCCUCUCAUGGUCUCGCGGCCGAAGGUAAACUGAUUAGUGUGCCGCCUGGGGAGUACGGUCGCAAGGCUAAAACUCAAAGGAAUUGACGGGGGCUCACACAAGCGGUGGAGCAUGUUGCUUAAUUCGAGGCAACGCGAAGAACCUUACCUAGACUUGACAUGUAUGGAUUAGUUCCUGGAAACAGGAAUGACGCCCUUGGGUGGAACAUACACAGGUGCUGCAUGGCUGUCGUCAGCUCGUGCUGUGAAGUGUCGGGUUAAGUCCCUUAACGAGCGCAACCCCUAUCGUUAGUUACUAACACGUAAUGGUGAGGACUCUAGCGAGACUGCCGGUGUCAAACCGGAGGAAGGUGGGGAUGACGUCAAGUCCUCAUGGCCCUUAUGUCUAGGGAUGCAAACGUGCUACAAUGGCAUGGACAAAGCGAUGCAAUACCGCGAGGUGGAGCAAAUCGCAAAAACCAUGCCCCAGUUCGGAUAGCAGGCUGAAAUUCGCCUGCUUGAAGCCGGAAUCGCUAGUAAUCGCGUAUCAGCUACGACGCGGUGAAUACGUUCCUGAGCCUUGCACACACCGCCCGUC
rnacentral:rRNA from 1 species